rnacentral:rRNA from 1 species
GACGAACGCUGGCGGCGUGCUUAACACAUGCAAGUCGAACGCUGAAGCCCAGCUUGCUGGGUGGAUGAGUGGCGAACGGGUGAGUAACACGUGAGUAACCUGCCCCCUUCUUUGGGAUAACGCCCGGAAACGGGUGCUAAUACUGGAUAUUCACUGGCCUUCGCAUGGGGGUUGGUGGAAAGGUUUUUUCUGGUGGGGGAUGGGCUCGCGGCCUAUCAGCUUGUUGGUGGGGUGAUGGCCUACCAAGGCUUUGACGGGUAGCCGGCCUGAGAGGGUGACCGGUCACAUUGGGACUGAGAUACGGCCCAGACUCCUACGGGAGGCAGCAGUGGGGAAUAUUGCACAAUGGGCGAAAGCCUGAUGCAGCGACGCCGCGUGAGGGAUGACGGCCUUCGGGUUGUAAACCUCUUUCGCUCAUGGUCAAGCCGCAGCUUUGGGUUGUGGUGAGGGUAGUGGGUAAAGAAGCGCCGGCUAACUACGUGCCAGCAGCCGCGGUAAUACGUAGGGCGCGAGCGUUGUCCGGAAUUAUUGGGCGUAAAGGGCUUGUAGGCGGUUGGUCGCGUCUGCCGUGAAAUCCUCUGGCUUAACUGGGGGCGUGCGGUGGGUACGGUCUGACUUGAGUGCGGGAGGGGAGACUGGAACUCCUGGUGUAGUGUGGAAUGCGCACAUAUCAGGAAGAAUACCGGUGGCUAAAGCGACUUACUGGGCUCAUCUGACUCUGAGGACGGAACCUGGGGAGAAAAGG